rnacentral:rRNA from 1 species
UACUCUCCUACGGGAGGCAGCAGUGGGGAAUUUUGGACAAUGGGCGAAAGCCUGAUCCAGCAAUGCCGCGUGAGUGAAGAAGGCCUUCGGGUUGUAAAGCUCUUUUGUCAGGGAAGAAACGGUGAAAGCUAAUAUCUUUUGCUAAUGACGGUACCUGAAGAAUAAGCACCGGCUAACUACGUGCCAGCAGCCGCGGUAAUACGUAGGGUGCAAGCGUUAAUCGGAAUUACUGGGCGUAAAGCGUGCGCAGGCGGUUUUGUAAGUCUGAUGUGAAAUCCCCGGGCUCAACCUGGGAAUUGCAUUGGAGACUGCAAGGCUAGAAUCUGGCAGAGGGGGGUAGAAUUCCACGUGUAGCAGUGAAAUGCGUAGAUAUGUGGAGGAACGCCGAUGGCGAAGGCAGCCCCCUGGGUCAAGAUUGACGCUCAUGCACGAAAGCGUGGGGAGCAAACAGGAUUAGAAACCCUGGUAGUCCCA